rnacentral:rRNA from 1 species
AGUGAACGUUGGCGGCGUGGAUUAGGCAUGCAAGUCGAGCGGGAGUAGCAAUACUCCAGCGGCGAAAGGGAGAGUAAUGCGUAGAUUACCUACCUCCAGGCCCGGGAUAGCCGUGGGAAACUGCGGGUAAUACCGGAUAAUGUCUCCGGACCAAAGGUGUGAUUCCGCCUGGAGACGGGUCUGCGUCCUAUCAGCUAGUUGGUGAGGUAACGGCUUACCAAGGCGACGACGGGUACGAGGCGUGAGAGCGUGUCCUCGCUCACUGGGACUGAGACACUGCCCAGACACCUACGGGUGGCUGCAGUCGGGAAUCUUCGUCAAUGGGCGCAAGCCUGAACGAGCGACGCCGCGUGCGGGAUGAAGGCCUUCGGGUUGUAAACCGCUGUCAGAGGGGAUGAAAUGCCGGUGGGUUCUCCCAUCGGUUUGACAGAUCCUCAGAGGAAGUACGGGCUAAGUUCGUGCCAGCCGCCGCGGUAACAC